UUCGCAAUGCCCGAAAGGGUGACGAUGCGACGCCGCGUGAGCGAAGAAGGCCCUAGGGUUGUAAAGCUCUGUCGAGGGUUAUGAAAUAUAGAUGGGUUAAUACCCCAUUUAUUUGACAAAGGCCCAAAAGGAAGCCACGGCUAACUCUGUGCCAGCAGCCGCGGUAAUACAGAGGUGGCGAGCGUUGUUCGGUAUUAUUGGGCGUAAAGAGCACGUAGGUGGUUUUGUAAGUCAGGUGUGAAAGCCUUCUGUUCAAAGGAAGAGCGGCAUCUGAAACUGCAGAUCUUGAGUGUAGGAGGGGAGAGUGGAACUUCUGGUGGAGCGGUGAAAUGCGUAGAUAUCAGAAGGAACGUCGGCGGCGAAAGCGACUCUCUGGCCUAUUACUGACACUGAGGUGCGAAAGUUAGGGGAGCAAACGGGAUUAGAUACCCCGGUAGUCCUAACCGUAAACGAUGGGCACUAAGUAGAGGGGUUUU
rnacentral:rRNA from 1 species